AUUUAUCUCUUGUUUUGCGUCAUGCAAAAACCCCUCUAGUAUUGGCUAAAGUUCUAUAAUUACGUACACAAAAUCGAAGACAUACAUCAAAUGAUCUUAAACAAACAUGAAAAUCAGUCAUAAAAGGAAAGAAAAGAAAAGAAAGAAAAGAACUGGAAAAAGAAAAGAAAAGUAUACUGCAGCCACCUUUUCACAAUCAUAAAAGCACGUAGAUCAACGCUCAAAGUAAAGGAAGGGAAGAGGAAGGGAAGAGGAAAAGAAGAGGAAGGGAAGAGGAGGAAGGGAAGAGCAAGGCAAACGGAGUGGACGGCGGCAGUGCAGGUCCAGCAGGCGCAGCGGUAGGAGGCGGCUGGCGGUCGGAAGGUUCAUUUACGGCAAUCAAUAGCUAAAGUUGCUGAUUAACAGCAACAGCUCAUCAAGUUUCCCAAUCAAAGAUAAACCUUAUUUAUACCCUAAGUGUGGUGUCUUGCCACACUUUGUGUGUAAAUAGACAACUUCUUUCUCACUCUCAGAGCAGUCGUCUCCUUCUCUGGUAUAGGUUACUCCUGUACCCGUUAAGGGGAUUCCUGCUCUAAGACUGUGAACUGACAGUUUGAAAGUUCGUACUGCUGAAGAGAAGAAAAGGAGGAGGAACAAAGAAGCAUUUUGAAGCCUCUGAUAUUUCCAGUGAAUAUGGUAGCUCCAUAUGAAAUUGGUGACCCAGUACGAUCGUUUGUACGAGUUCCAGGAAGUGGAUCUGAUAAGACAGCGAAGUCAUUAUGCUGUGAUCUUGCCAGGGUAUCGGCAGCAGCUGCGGCAAUCCCUGUGCGGCCAGUCACUGCAGCUACCACACAGCCAAGGUCAGCAGAAGGAGAAAAUAGGGAACAGAAUGCAGUAGUGAAAAAGGAAGAGGUGCAAGUCAAGGUUGAAAAGGAUGAAGCAGCUGGAGAGUCAGAGCACUCAGCUGCUGAGCAGAGAAGAGAAGUGAAAUGCAAGAAGCGCCUUGCAGAAGAUUCAGAAAUAAUGGUGCAUGCCAAAAGGAGCUGUGUAUCAGGUGAAGAGACAUCUAAAGUUUCACCUGAUUCCUCUAAAGACACAAACACCAGUAAAGGAGGAGAAAGGUCUGCUGUUCAUGAAAAGCUGAAUAUUUUAGAAAAGCAAUGUAUUAAACUAAAACAGCAAAAUCAUCAGCUGCAGCAGAGAUUGUCUUUAUUCUGCAAGCUUUUCAAGGAUCCAAAGAAGCUUGCAUUUGCAUUAAAACGAAUGGAAGCUCAAGCUAACUAAUUUCUUUUCUCAAUGUAGUUACUCAUCUGCCAAAGAGAUACUUAAUAGGAAGAUUUAACCCAUUGGCUCCGGCACAUGCACUGUUACCUUAAUUCUGUUUACACAUAGAUGGCUUCACAAGUGCUUAGUCAGCAAGGGGUCAAUUCUUAGGCUAACCUGAUCUCACCUGAAAAAAAAACAUUUUUAUUACUGUUUUGUUAUUAAAGUUAUUUUUGUUGAUAAUACCAUUAUAAUUUUAAUAACAAGGUACCCAGAAUAAAACUAGAAACUUUCUUUUCCAAAUUUCAAGGAAAGGAAUUCAAAAGAUGGGACCCAAGUAUUAACUCUUUACUGACUAAAUAUUUCUGGAGCCAUCCAGUUGUAAACAGAAUUUGUAAAAUAACCAAUGGACAGUGUAAGUGAUCCAGUUGCAAGUUGCAAAUAGCCAUCAUUUUGAUGAAACUUUCAUUAUGUUUUGGCAUUAUUUGAUUAACUUGUUAACUAUAAUUCACCGUCCAAGUGGCAAGGUGCCAGUUUCAUGAAUACACUCUAUGUAUAUUCAAACCUCAUUGUGGCAAGGUGCCAGUUUCAUGAAUACACUCUAUGUAUAUUCAAACCCCAUUGUGGCAAGGUGCCAGUUUCAUGAAUACACUCUAUGUAUAUUCAAACCUCAUUGUGGCAAGGAGCCAGUUUCAUGAAUACACUCUAUGUAUAUUCAAACCCCAUUGUGGCAAGGUGCCAGUUUCAUGAAUACACUCUAUGUAUAUUCAAACCCCAUUGUGGCAAGGUGCCAGUUUCAUGAAUACACUCUAUGUAUAUUCAAACCUCAUUGUGGCAAGGAGCCAGUUUUUAUGAAUGACAUGUUUGUUCAGCCUAAUUAUGGCAAGAGGCUAGUUUUGUUGAACACUAUGCAUAUUGAACAUUAUCAUGUCAAAGAAGUAGUUUUGUAAACUGAUGUACUCAUUCAGGUAGCAGAGGGCCAGCUUUGUAUGAAGAGAAACUACCUGAAAAUCUGAUGAACCAUUAACCUGUGUAUGUCCAAAAAAGCUAUGAAGAGAUUUGAAAGUUUGUUAUAUACUUAUUAUUAUGAUACAGAGCUGGUGUUAAUGAAUUGCCUAAUGUUUCAAAAGAGAAAAUUUUAUGUACAUGUUUUGUAAUUGGAUUAUGUAGAUGAAGUAUAUUGACAUUAUAUAAUUCUAGAAAAAGUUUUGUUUCAUUAAUUUAUGACAUUAAUUAUUAUAAUACUUAAAAUGCAUAGUGUUAUUGUCUUUUCUGACAGUUGGAGCUUAGGCGACAUCUCUCACACAGCGGGAGUUGAAGAGGUGGUAAACAUUUAUUGAGUUGCCAGAUGCAUACUGCUUGCAUCAGUUAUUUUCAUGCAAAUCUAUACUUAUACUGGGUAUCUAUAAUCUUAGUACAACCCACCGUAAGAUAUCAAAAGCCAUCUAGGAUAUAUUUCAAAAUACUGUGUACCAGUCAAAUAAAUAACCAAUACAAUAAAACAGCCAGCUGUCAACUGCAUCCCCAUUACGUCACAGCAGUGGGUUUAUCUUGUGGCCUGUCUGGCCUCUGAUCACGAGACAGGCUUUGGGUGUUGUGUGAUGUCUCGUGACACCCAAAACCUGCUAACCUUCCUCGUGAUUGGAGGCCAAACAGGCUGCAUGCUCUGCCCACUGCUGUAAUGUAAUGGGGAUGGCUGCAGGUGAUGGCUAGCUGUUUUUUACUGUGUCGUUUUUUUCCGACUGGUGCACAGUAUUUUGGAAUAUAAUAUCCUAGAUGGCUUUUGAUAUCUUGUGGUGGGUUGUAUUGAUAUAGAUAUCCAGUAUAAGAACAAAUUUACAUGAAAUUAACUGAGGUAAGAGGAAUGCAUCUGGCAUCUUGUUAAAUUUUACUGCCUAUUCAAUUCCUGUCACAUGAAAGGUUUUGCCAUUGGAAAAGACGGCUCUAAGUCCACAUUAUUAGGAGUUUGGAUUAAUCUGGUUUGAAUCUUUAUUCAUGGAUUGUUGUGUUUCCUUUUGUCAGACUAAUUUAUCUGGACUCUGAAGUUCUGCUUUGGUGUUUCUUUUCCUACUGUGCCUGUUCUUUUUUUAGUAGUUUUGUAUAGUAAAUGUAUAUGGAACAAGUCAUUUUGAUUUAUUGGUACCAGCUACUGUAAAUGUCAUUGACACCCAGAGCAGAGUUAUUUUUUAUUCUGUACACGUUUUCUAAACAUAAAACACAGUACCUUACCUAAGGUCUUGAUAGUAGCUGUGUAGUAAUUUCACGCACCCAGAGAUCUUAUUUUUCCUUGAGCAGUUAUAUAUGCAUCAUGUUAGUAUGAGUGUAGGUAUGUUGUAGAAAAGUGGUCCUUAAACUGAAUUACUUGAACUUAAUUUCAGUAAAAGUAAAAUGGCCACAAAGAUAAGGGUAACUUUAGUCCAGGAUUAAAGGGUAAAAAAAAAUCGAUUUGCCAAUUUCAAUUUUUACUAUUAAUAAAGAACAGAUGAAUUUGAAAUAUAUUUAUAAUUACAGUUGAAGUGAAUCCAGGCUUAUGUACACCUUGCCACACAUAUAAAUAGAGCAUAUUAUCACUCAUGACUGGCUUGUUGACAUUAGCCGAUACCAUCUUGGAGUUUGUGAGACAAACUAUAUCACCUCCAAGAUAAACCAACAUGCCAGAUAAAUUAACAUGCCAUUCAUGGUGCUCAUUUUCACACAUGUGGAAUUAAAUAUUUAGAAGCCUGGACUAAGGAUUGAAUCCACUCCAGCAGUGGGUUGUGCAAGAAUUUUCUUAUAGAUUUAUUAUUUCCCAUGUCAUUUUGGCGGUUUCCUUUCAUAUUUUUUUGUUAUUGCCAUUUAUUUUGUUUCUACAUGAAUGUGAAAAUUUAGUUGAUUCCUACUUGUAUGAAUGUGCAGUUUAAACAUUUGUUAUUAUUAUUAUAGAUUACACCAGUAAACCUACUUAGAAACCUUGCUAGCUAACAGUUUACUUACAUUUCUUUGCUGUGCUUUUGAACUGAAAAGAGAUAUGGAAUAAAGCAUUUUUACAAACUUCCACUACUAACUAGUAUAGAAAUCCAGUGAUUAAUUGCACUCAGUAGUGCAAUUCCUGUUGGGAGCAUUUACAUUGUUAAAGAUUAAAAUCUUAACAAAACAUGUGUAAAGUACUAUGCAUAAGUGCCAACACAGUUUGCCCAAGAAUUGGCAUGCUGCAUAGUGCCUGAAAAGAAGCUUGCUCAGCACGGUGCCUGGACAUUAGCAUUAUUUUCAGUACAUUAAGUCUGUUCAUAGACACUAUGUACAAGCAUUGUGUAUAGGCAUCUUUACAUAAUUAUGCAAAUUUCCAGAAAAUUAAUAUCUAGAAGCAAACAUCAUUCAGGAAUGUUUACACAUUACCUGGGUGACAGAUUGUGCCCAGCAGUGAAUUAUCAGAAUGAUUUAUGAUGGUUUCAAAGUUGAUAUUUUACUUUAAAGAUUGAAAUUGUAGAGCCAUGAAAUUAAUUAUGUUAGCAAAUAACCUCAAUAUAUAUAUGGUUUCUCAAGUCUUUUCAUUAUACUUUAUAACAAUAGAAUAAUCUCUAGGGUGUUUGGUUAAAAUAUACUAAUGUUUUUAGUGUUGUCUGUCUCAGGUUUUUAAAAAACAGGGAUCAUUUGGUGUACCUUUCUUCAUAUAACUUGUGUCUCUUGUAGAUGCACUUUGAUUUUAUUGCUAAAACCUUUAUUUGAAAUUUUCUUGAUACUUUGUGAUUGAGAUCUGUUUCAUGAUUUAGUGGAAUCAUGAAUGGCUAUACAUCAAACCUUUAUAUGUACUAAUGUCUACAGAAAAGAAAAACAGUUGAAGUAGGUUGGGUCAUGCCAAGGUGUCAGGUGGGAAGAGUGGCCAACCAUAGUGCUUGUCAUCCUUCACAUAUACGACAUGAGACCUCUACCUGACCUAACCUUUGUUGACCUAGAAGGUGAGUAGGUUAGGUCAGGCUGAAGUCUCAGGCAGUAUACAGGAAGAAUUACUAGCAUAAUGCUCUUUCACCCUUUCCAUAUACUGCCUGAUACAUCAGUUUGACCCAACCUAUCUCCAUACACUUUUGAAAAACCUGAGAUAUGAGUAGAUGGAUAAUACUUUAUCAUUAUUUUGGUUUGAUGGCUUUUAUACUUUUAAGAAUAUUUCUUUUACAGAAUGUUUAUAAUAUGUCUGCAUAAGCUGGUAUACCACAGAUUUUGUAUUUUAAAUAUAAUAAUUAGAUACUGUCAGCACCUGUCCUUACCAGCAUUCUUUUGAAAGUAGUAAAAUUAUUCUUUACCUGGAAGCAAUCUGCAGUCUUUUAUGUAGCAGACAAUCAUGGAUAUUGUGCAAGGUAAUUAAAUUUAGUUGCCUAUGUUAUUGUAGACAUGUAUAACUCUUAUGAAUUGAAUAAACUUUUAACUGUAAAUAAUUUUACACCCUUAGCUUAAGACCUGUACAUAUUGAUAGCUAAUAAAGGCUGAAAAUGUCUGGUCUUGAAAAAUGUCAGAUACAGUAUCUACAUCAUUUCUAUAAUUUUGGUUUAAUUCUUAAUAACUUUGCAAAUAAUUUCAAUCUCUUGUCUGUUCUCAGUUGGUCUCAGUUGGACACUUAGAAAGGCUAAGACUGGUUUAAUCUCUGAUUAUAAGUUGUAGACACAUUAUUUUGUCUUUUGAACAAAGAACAAAAUUAAUAUUGCCAAGUUACCCUCUACAGAAAUGUAUCAUGAGGAAGAUGAAAUGUAAUUUGUGGGUAAAAAGGCCCAUUGAAAGGUAAGAAAUACAGAAAAAACUCAUUUAAAGCUGAUGUUGGCUAGACAACAAAUAUGAUCCAUGAAUAAUGCCAGAAUGUUAAAGUGUGAUUAUUUUGUUGAAAUAUUCUCGAUAAAUGUGGUAAACCCA
rnacentral:misc_RNA from 1 species